rnacentral:siRNA from 1 species
AGCCAUUGCGAUGAAGCUUUUGCC